GCAUGCAACAGAAUUUUGCCCACUGAGCCCUUGCAGACUGCUCUCGCAUUACCAUGAAGGAUGAAGGAUAAAGGAUGGCAAUUGCUUGUUUUAAGAAGAGGAUGAGGCUAUUUCUACACUGCGACUGUGUUUGAGAAGUUACUUGCAGAAGAACAGAGACUUGAACUCACACACAGGUGGGCUGUGAGCUGACUGGUGCAUAAGAGAGCUGAGUCCCUACAAAGCCCUGCCAGUUGUGGAUGAUCCCAUCUUUUCAGGAUCCAACCUGAUUCUCUCACCAUCUUGUAUAUCUAGGUGGCCAAGGACUGAGUAAGCUGCAGAUGACAGAAUUACUCUGGCACCUCUGGGGUAGCCCCUUUGGCCAAAAUGUGGUCCAUGGGUGAAUCUGGUGUGAAAGAAACCUUGCAGCAAACUAACACAAAUCGGUGAAGGAGAUUAUUGUCCAAGGAUGCCAGCCCAGCACCUUUCACCUCCACUGGAAAUACAGCAAGUUGCACAAAAAGA